AAGUCGUAACAAGGUAACCGUAGGUGAACCUGCGGUUGGAUCAUUAAUAAAUGAUUUGGCACUAUGGAUCGAAUCUCCAUUCUCUGUAGUGCCGAUUAACACCCUUUGUGCACUGUAAAUGUUUUUUGGGUAGGGUUAUUUCGGUGACCUUGCCCUGCAAUUCAAAACCACUUUUUAAACUUGACUGAAACUUUAAAAUAUAAAAUUUUAAAACUAUAGACAACGGAUCUCUUGGUUCUC
rnacentral:misc_RNA from 1 species